rnacentral:rRNA from 1 species
AACGAACGCUGGCGGCAGGCUUAACACAUGCAAGUCGAGCGAUCCCUUCGGGGAUAGCGGCGGACGGGUGAGUAACGCGUGGGAACGUACCCUUUUCUACGGAAUAGCCUCGGGAAACUGGGAGUAAUACCGUAUAAGCCCUUCGGGGGAAAGAUUUAUCGGGAAAGGAUCGGCCCGCGCUGGAUUAGGUAGUUGGUGGGGUAAAGGCCUACCAAGCCUACGAUCCAUAGCUGGUUUGAGAGGAUGAUCAGCCACACUGGGACUGAGACACGGCCCAGACUCCUACGGGAGGCAGCAGUGGGGAAUCUUAGACAAUGGGGGCAACCCUGAUCUAGCCAUGCCGCGUGAUCGAUGAAGGCCUUAGGGUUGUAAAGAUCUUUCAGUGGGGAAGAUAAUGACGGUACCCACAGAAGAAGCCCCGGCUAACUCCGUGC